CUAGAUUUGUGAAUAUAAAAUUUUCCCAGCAUAAGGAUGCUAUUGACUAUAAUAAAAUUAUAGUUUGGUAUAUUUAUUGGUAUAUUUGGUAUAUUUAUACAUAUAAUUAUUGUUUGGUCUCGUACUCUAUCGCAUACAUUGUCAGUGUCGUGCGCUUGCUUAGACCUUUGUUGUGAUAAACAGUAAAGUGUGUUCAAGCGCUAGCAAAAGACAGUGUAAAGAAAUACCCUUUGAGAGAAGAAGUUAAAUCAGCGGAAGUUAAAAGCAGAUCGUUAGUAUACGGCGGCAGCCCUCCUGUUAAGCCCUCCUCGUGUGAAGACCGAAGAGNCCAUCGACUCUACCGUGCGACUCCACCGGGCAGGGACACCGGCAAUGGAUAUAAGUAUUGUUUUGAUUACUCCUUUUUUACUUCUGCUUGUUUCACUUCUAUUUCAGUUUUUAUAACCAAUUCUUACUAUGUGUUUCCAGAUCCCUACUAUCACUACCACUCGGAAACCACGCAUCACACACUGUAGGCAGCGCAAUCCUAACAACCUGCACACUCUGCCUAUGUCUGCUAAUACACUAUCUUUUUCUAUUGGUCUCUGGAAUUGCCAGUCUGCUGUAAACAAAGCCGAUUUCAUUACUCCUCUUAUUAGUCAUUCAAAGCUAAAUCUCAUGGCCCUGACAGAGACCUGGAUCAAACCAGAGGACACUGCUACACCUGCAGCACUCUCCAACAAUUUCUCAUUUUCCCACUCCCCCCGUUUGACUGGAAGAGGUGGAGGUACUGGUCUGCUCAUCUCUAAUGAUUGGAAAUUGAAUCCUUUGCCAUCUUUGGGUAUCAACAGCUCCUUUGAAUCUCAUUCAGUUACUGUUACCUACCCUCUUAAAAUUCAUUUUGUUGUUGUCUAUCGACCCCCAGGACCACUAGGUAACUUUUUGGAUGAAUUAGAUGUGCUGCUCUCAACCUUUCCUGAGGAUGGUACUCCCCUAGUUAUGCUUGGAGACUUCAACAUCCACCAAGAUAAACCUCUAUCUGCUGACUUCCACACUCUGUUUGCCUCUUUUGAUCUCAACCGAGUGUCAACUACUGCUACUCACAAAUCAGGCAACCAACUGGACCUUAUUUACACACAACACUGCUCCACUGAUCAUGUACUGGUUACUCCACUGCACACCUCAGAUCACUUCCUCCUCACUCUUAACCUCAACAUGGUUCCUGACACGUCACUUACCCCUUCACAUGUCAUCUUUCGACGUAACCUACGCUCACUCUCACCCUCCCGGCUAUCUGCAAUGGUUUCAUCUUUGCUUCCUCCCCCUAAACUAUUAGCAUCUUUUGAUGCUAACAGUGCUACUGAUACUUUCUGCUCCACUCUUACAUCUUGUUUAGACACUGUUUGCCCCUUGUCUUCCAGGCCAGCCCGUACCACCCCUUCAGCCCCUUGGUUAUCUGAUGUUCUACGCGAACAUCGUUCUAAGCUUAGAGCUGCUGAAAGGGUGUGGCGCAAAUCCAAAAAUACUACUGACCUUAAUGUGUAUCAGUCACUCCUCUCUUCCUUUUCUGCUAAUGUCUCCACUGCUAAAAAGACAUACUACCAUAACAAAAUUAAACAUUCGUCUAACUCUCGCAUGCUUUUUAAAACAUUUUCCUCACUCCUUUGUCCUCCUCCUCCCCCUCCUGCUUCAUCUCUAAUAGCUGACGACUUUGCCACGUUUUUCAUUAAUAAAAUUAAAAACAUCAGUGCACAAUA
ensembl:lncRNA